UAUUUUAAAGCUUUUUCCCCGAUAAAGUUAUAAACAAAUCCAAAUUUGUAUAACUUCAUAUCGAUUUCUUCUGUUCGAUUUAAGUUUAAGAAAUUUUGUUCUCAAAACCGUGCACAACUAAGUACAACUUGGUUCAAUUAUUCCCGUUUAAAAAAAAAAUACUCAAACCAAAAGAUACAACUUGGUAAUACUUGGUACACCGAAAUGUAGAUUGUAAGAUUUUGAUGAGGAAAUUGAUUGGUUUAUAGGUUUUUAC
rnacentral:lncRNA from 1 species